rnacentral:rRNA from 1 species
UACGUAGGGGGCAAGCGUUGUCCGGAGUUACUGGGCGUAAAGCGCACGCAGGCGGUUUUUCAAGUCAGUGGUGACAGCCGCUCGCUUAACGAGGGGAGGGCCGCUGAGACUGAGGGACUGGAGGGCCAGAGAGGGACAUGGAACUCCGGGUGGAGUGGUGAAAUGCGUAGAGAUCCGGAAGAACACCAAAGGCGAAGGCAGUGUCCUGGCUGGUACCUGACGCUCAGGUGCGAAAGCGAGGGGAG